UUCUAUGACAUCUGUCCCAGAGUUGGCU
rnacentral:piRNA from 1 species